UGGGGAAUAUUGCACAAUGGGGGAAACCCUGAUGCAGCGACGCCGCGUGGAGGAAGAAGGUCUUCGGAUUGUAAACUCCUGUUGUUGAGGAAGAUAAUGACGGUACUCAACAAGGAAGUGACGGCUAACUACGUGCCAGCAGCCGCGGUAAAACGUAGGUCACAAGCGUUGUCCGGAAUUACUGGGUGUAAAGGGAGCGCAGGCGGGAAGACAAGUUGGAAGUGAAAUCUAUGGGCUCAACCCAUAAACUGCUUUCAAAACUGUUUUUCUUGAGUAGUGCAGAGGUAGGCGGAAUUCCCGGUGUAGCGGUGGAAUGCGUAGAUAUCGGGAGGAACACCAGUGGCGAAGGCGGCCUACUGGGCACCAACUGACGCUGAGGCUCGAAAGUGUGGGUAGCAAACAGGAUUAGAUACCCUGGUAGUCCACACCGUAAACGAUGAUUACUAGGUGUUGGAGGAUUGACCCCUUCAGUGCCGCAGUUAACACAAUAAGUAAUCCACCUGGGGAGUACGACCGCAAGGUUGAAACUCAAAGGAAUUGACGGGGGCCCGCACAAGCAGUGGAGUAUGUGGUUUAAUUCGACGCAACGCGAAGAACCUUACCAAGUCUUGACAUCCUGCGACGAUGCUGGAAACAGUAUUUUCCUUCGGGACGCAGAGACAGGUGGUGCAUGGUUGUCGUCAGCUCGUGUCGUGAGAUGUUGGGUUAAGUCCCGCAACGAGCGCAACCCUUACUGUCAGUUACUACGCAAGAGGACUCUGGCAGGACUGCCGUUGACAAAACGGAGGAAGGUGGGGAUGACGUCAAAUCAUCAUGCCCUUUAUGACUUGGGCUACACACGUACUACAAGGGCGUUAAACAAAGAGAAGCAAGACCGCGAGGUGGAGCAAAACUCAGAAACAACGUCCCAGUUCGGACUGCAGGCUGCAACUCGCCUGCACGAAGUCGGAAUUGCUAGUAAUCGUGGAUCAGCAUGCCACGGUGAAUACGUUCCC
rnacentral:rRNA from 1 species